GGUUUAUAGAGUUACAGGUCAAUACGGGGUUUAUAGAGUUACAGGUCACUAUGUGGUUUAUAGAGUUACAGGUCACUAUGUGGUUUAUAGAGUUACAGGUCAAUACGGGGUUUAUAGAGUUACAGGUCAAUACGGGGUUUAUAGAGUUACAGGUCACUAUGUGGUUUAUUACAGUUACAGGUCACUAUGUGGUUUAUAGAGUUACAGGUCAAUAUGUGGUUUAUUACAGUUACAGGUCACUAUGUGGUUUAUAGAGUUACAGGUCAAUACGGGGUUUAUAGAGUUACAGGUCAAUACAUGGUUUAUAGAUUUUUAUUACAUAGCUUAUAUGUUUAUAACAUGGUAUAUAUGUCUAUAACAUGUUUAUAGAUCUUUAUAAACAUACAAUAGAAUCACUCAAUUGACCUAAUU
rnacentral:lncRNA from 1 species